UACGUAGGGUGCGAGCGUUGUCCGGAAUUAUUGGGCGUAAAGAGCUCGUAGGCGGUUUGUCGCGUCGGCCGUGAAAACUGGAGGCUUAACCUCCAGCUUGCGGUCGAUACGGGCAGACUUGAGUUCGGUAGGGGAGACUGGAAUUCCUGGUGUAGCGGUGAAAUGCGCAGAUAUCAGGAGGAACACCGGUGGCGAAGGCGGGUCUCUGGGCCGAUACUGACGCUGAGGAGCGAAAGCGUGGGGAGCGAACAGG
rnacentral:rRNA from 1 species